CGAGGACGAACGCUGGCGGCGUGCCUAAUACAUGCAAGUCGAACGGUCUUUCUAUGGAAGCUUGCUUCCACUGAGAAGAUAGUGGCGAACGGGUGAGUAACACGUGGGUAACCUGCCCAUAAGAGGGGGAUAACAUCCGGAAACGGGUGCUAAUACCGCAUAGUUUUCUUGAUCGCAUGAUCGGGAAAGGAAAGACGGCCUUUGUGCUGUCGCUUAUGGAUGGACCCGCGGCGUAUUAGUUAGUUGGUGAGGUAACGGCUCACCAAGACGAUGAUACGUAGCCGACCUGAGAGGGUGAUCGGCCACAUUGGGACUGAGACACGGCCCAAACUCCUACGGGAGGCAGCAGUAGGGAAUCUUCCGCAAUGGACGAAAGUCUGACGGAGCAACGCCGCGUGAGUGAAGAAGGUUUUUCCGGAUCGUAAAACUCUGUUGUCAGAGAAGAACAAGUUGGAGAGUAACUGCUCCAGCCUUGACGGUAUCUGACCAGAAAGCCACGGCUAACUACGUGCCAGCAGCAGC
rnacentral:rRNA from 1 species